ensembl:lncRNA
GAUGUACUAGGUUCUUCUUGUUCCAGUGACGUGCUGAUCCUCCAAAAGAUAGACUCUGGUGACCCGUGUCAGCUGGCACCACUGACCGCAGGCAGAAGAGAGAGAGCAUUUCGAAUUCUGUAAAUAAUGACAUGGGCCCUGCUCCUACCAAAAAUCCCAAAUUGUACUUUCCCACCAGCCUGCCACAAGCCUGUGCAGCUGGCUGAGGGCAGGAUGUCCUGGAAUUCCCCCUGCAAGCUCAUGAGCUGCACCCAAUCUGCAGAGACAGUACGGUAAAGCUUCUGAGAAUAAUGUGUAAAGAUAACUAUUUACUGAGCUCACACUUGGUGAUUCUCCUGCCUCGGCCUCCCAGCACUCUGGGAUGACAGGUCCUGAGGAGGUUGCCAAUGAAGGCUGAAUGCCAGGGACCCCAUGCAUUCAAAGAGACCUUCCCCCUUCCCAUAUGUUUCCAAGGGGAACCUUGGUGGUUUUCAGACUUGGAUGGCAGAGUAGACUAGAAAUUGAUGCCUGAAAUCUGGCAGGUUCCAGCCACCCUGUACUUGAUGAUUUUUACCACGCAUGAUGUCAUUUGCCCUUUUCAGAGGUCCAAUUCUUAACAGGACAGUGACAAGAUAGUGAAGAGGACACUAAACUAUGCCCUCCUGGGGUUGUUGAAGAAACUGAAGAGGUUUAGCUUGGAUAUGAGAACACUCAGAGGCACAUAUGGCUGUGUUCAGAUGCUAGAAGGAUGGUUAUGGGAAAAGGAAAUUGGGUCUACUCCCCAAGGCCCCCGUGGGUAAAGACAAGGCCUGAGAGUGGAAGCCCUGGAACACUGAUGGUGAACCUUUUAGAGCUUUCAAUGAUACAAACAGCCUACUGUGGCACACGUGCCAUAGCUUCACCACCACUGCCCUAGGAGCUUGAAGCUGGAGCAGCCUCAGAGAUAUGGCUGACAAUCAGGACACCUGGAGCUCUCUUCCUCUGCAGGGCUCAGAGGUGCUGCUCAGCCAAACUGGAAAGCUGUUAUGGACCUUCCAGGGCUGAUGGAAGGGCCUCAG